UACAGAGGGGGCAAGCGUUAUUCGGAAUUAUUGGGCGUAAAGGGCGCGUAGGCGGCCUGGCAAGUGGAAGGUGAAAUCCCUCGGCUUAACCGAGGAACUGCCCUCCAAACUGCUUGGCUUGAGUCCGGGAGAGGUGAGUGGAAUUCCCAGUGGAGCGGUGAAAUGCGUAGAUAUUGGGAGGAACACCAGUGGCGAAGGCGGCUCACUGGACCGGAACUGACGCUGAGGCGCGAAAGCGUGGGGAGCAAACGGG
rnacentral:rRNA from 1 species